AUACGGAGGGUGCAAGCGUUACUCGGAAUCACAGGGCGUAAAGCGCGCGCAGGCGGCUUGAUAAGUUGGAUGUGAAAGCCUACGGCUCAACCGUAGAACUGCAUCCAAAACUGUCAGGCUAGAGUGUGGGAGAGGAAGAUGGAAUUAGUUGUGUAGGGGUAAAAUCCGUAGAGAUAACUAGGAAUACCAAAAGCGAAGGCAAUCUUCUGGAACACUACUGACGCUGAGGCGCGAAGGCGUGGGGAGCAAACAGGAUUAGAAACCCUAGUAGUCC
rnacentral:rRNA from 1 species